AAAGAGUGCAAGGUCGCAGACGCUCGGUUCUUUAAAAUACCGAAGGUGCGGACUCGUGAAUGCGACACGACGCGAACACUGUCCGCGAGGAGACAGCGAGAAUGGUUGAAACGCAUCAACAGAAAAGACCUGGACGCUGACCUCGACAAGUACAAGGUGUGCUCACGCCACUUCGUCUCGGGGGCAGCGGCCGAUCUUUUUGACGACUGCAACCCUGACUGGGCACCUAGCCAACAUUUGGGUUAUGCAUCCACGCUCGACGGCCCGCACUCGGGUCGCUACGUACGGCUGAGUCGUCGUCGGCAUA